rnacentral:rRNA from 1 species
GAGUUUGAUCGUGGCUCAGGGUUAACGCUGGCGGUGCGCAUAACACAUGCAAGUCGAGCGAGGGCUUAUUUCUCGCAAGAGAGAUGAGUUCCUAGCGGCGAACGGGUGAGUAACACGUGGGCAACCUUUCCUAUCGCGGGGGAUAACACCGGGAAACCGAUGCUAAUACCGCAUGUCGUCACUGGUCGCAUGGCUGGUGAAGAAAGCAGCAAUGCACGAUGGGGUGGGCCCGCGGCCUAUCAGCUAGUCGGUGGGGUAACGGCCUACCGAGGCGAUGACGGGUAGCUGGUCUGAGAGGACGGCCAGCCACACGGGGGACUGAGACACGGCCCCGACUCCUACGGGAGGCAGCAGUGAGGAAUCUUCCGCAAUGGGCGAAAGCCUGACGGAGCGACACCGCGUGUGGGAUGAAGUCUUUCGGGAUGUAACCACUGUCGGAGGGGAAGAAAAUGACGGUACCCUCCAAGAAAGCCCGGCUAACUACGUGCCAGCAGCCG